UACGUAGGGGGCUAGCGUUGUCCGGAUUUACUGGGCGUAAAGGGCGCGUAGGCGGUCAGCACAAGUCAGUUGUGAAAUCUCCGGGCUUAACUCGGAAAGGUCAACUGAUACUGUGCGACUAGAGUGCAGAAGGGGCAACUGGAAUUCUCGGUGUAGCGGUGAAAUGCGUAGAUAUCGAGAGGAACACCUGCGGCGAAGGCGGGUUGCUGGGCUGACACUGACGCUGAGGAACGAAAGCUAGGGGAGCAAACAGG
rnacentral:rRNA from 1 species